UUUUUUUUUAAAAAAGAUGAGUAAAUGUAAACAAAUGUAGUGCUAGUUGAGCAACCUCAUUUAGGAGAAAGGAGAGAGAGAUAUUUUUUUAGCCGGGUCGGCCGAAAAAUCGACCAACCAUAUUGUAUUAAGAAGAGA
rnacentral:snoRNA from 1 species